UGCCGCGUGUGUGAAGAAGGCCUUCGGGUUGUAAAGCACUUUUGUCCGGAAAGAAAACGCUCUGGUUAAUACCUGGGGCGGAUGACGGUACCGGAAGAAUAAGCACCGGCUAACUACGUGCCAGCAGCCGCGGUAAUACGUAGGGUGCGAGCGUUAAUCGGAAUUACUGGGCGUAAAGCGUGCGCAGGCGGUUUUGUAAGACAGGCGUGAAAUCCCCGAGCUUAACUUGGGAAUUGCGCUUGUGACUGCAAGGCUAGAGUAUGUCAGAGGGGGGUAGAAUUCCACGUGUAGCAGUGAAAUGCGUAGAGAUGUGGAGGAAUACCGAUGGCGAAGGCAGCCCCCUGGGACGUCACUGACGCUCAUGCACGAAAGCGUGGGGAGCAAACAGGAUUAGAUACCCUGGUAGUCCACGCCCUAAACGAUGUCAACUAGUUGUUGGGGAUUCAUUUUCUCAGUAACGUAGCUAACGCGUGAAGUUGACCGCCUGGGGAGUACGGUCGCAAGAUUAAAACUCAAAGGAAUUGACGGGGACCCGCACAAGCGGUGGAUGAUGUGGAUUAAUUCGAUGCAACGCGAAAAACCUUACCUACCCUUGACAUGCCACUAACGAAGCAGAGAUGCAUUAGGUGCCCGAAAGGGAAAGUGGACACAGGUGCUGCAUGGCUGUCGU
rnacentral:rRNA from 1 species